rnacentral:misc_RNA from 1 species
UUCGCGAGGGCCCUCGCAACGGCUCGGACGCGCUAGCGCGCUGUACUGGCGCCUGUUCGUCAAUGCCUGUUUGCGCUGGCGUCUUGAGGGCUUGUAGCUCAGUUGGUUAGAGCGCGCGCUUGAUAAGCGUGAGGUCGGAGGUUCAAGUCCUUCCCAGGCCCACCAUCUUUCUGUGCUCACGCGCGUACGCCCUUCGGGCGCGCUCCGCACGGGGCGGCCAAACGUGGCAGUCGCGCUUGCGAAGCUUCGCUUCGAGGGUGCCGGGCUGGACGGAUGAUUUACCCAUACCCUUACGGGGGCGUAGCUCAGCUGGGAGAGCACCUGCUUUGCAAGCAGGGGGUCGUCGGUUCGAUCCCGUCCGCCUCCACCAGGGUUUUUUGAAUUGGUUGCCGGGCGAGAUGCAAAAACAUCAUUUAAAGAACCAAGUUUGCGGCUUGUUGGGCUUUGGCCUGACGGUUGCGUGUUCUGUAUGAAAUUGUGAAGAGAAGAUAUGUCCGGGUUAUUCUGGAUGUUCAGGUUUGUACUCCAAAUACAGACCGCUAGGUCGUCGCGGCUUGCCGCGCGCUUAGUGCAGGCCCUUGCGGCCGUGAACGCUGAAAUAACGUCGCAAGGGAUGCUCAUCAAAAGCCCUUGCAGAUGAUUGGCCGCUUAACCGCAGAGCCAUCGGAUUUAUCUCGAGAAGCUGGUCUUUUUUGUCAAAUCGAUCGAUUGCUGAAUGGUUUGUGUUCCGUUGGUAUCCCCCACGGAAGCGGAUUGUUCGUGAAGGCAAGGAUGGAUAUUGGCAAUGAGAAUGAUCAAGUGUCUUAAGGGCAUUUGGUGGAUGCCUUGGCAUGCACAGGCGAUGAAGGACGUGAUACGCUGCGAUAAGCGUCGGGAGGUGCGAAU